rnacentral:rRNA from 1 species
UACAGAGGGGGCAAGCGUUGUUCGGAUUCAUUGGGCGUAAAGGGUGCGUAGGUGGCUAGGUAAGUCGGAUGUGAAAUCCCGGGGCUCAACCCCGGAACUGCAUUCGAUACUGCCUGGCUAGAGUACUGGAGAGGAGAUUGGAAUUUACGGUGUAGCAGUGAAAUGCGUAGAUAUCGUAAGGAAGACCAGUGGCGAAGGCGGAUCUCUGGACAGUUACUGACACUGAGGCACGAAGGCCAGGGGAGCAAACGGG